GUUGGGAAUCUUGGACAAUGGGGGAAACCCUGAUCCAGCCAUGCCGCGUGAGUGAUGAAGGCCUUCGGGUUGUAAAACUCUUUCGACGGGGACGAUAAUGACGGUACCCGUAGAAGAAGCUCCGGCUAACUUCGUGCCAGCAGCCGCGGUAAUACGAAGGGGGCUAGCGUUGUUCGGAAUUACUGGGCGUAAAGCGCGCGCAGGCGGCUAUCCAAGUCAGUGGUGAAAGCCCGGAGCUCAACUCCGGAACUGCCAUUGAAACUGUUUAGCUUGAGGACGAGAGAGGUGAGUGGAAUUCCCAGUGUAGAGGUGAAAUUCGUAGAUAUUCGGAAGAACACCAGUGGCGAAGGCGACUCACUGGCCCGUUACUGACGCUGAGGCGCGAAAGCGUGGGGAGCAAACAGGAUUAGAAACCCGUGUAGUCC
rnacentral:rRNA from 1 species